UGUGAACGAUGAAGGUCUUCUGAUUGUAAAGUUCUUUUAUUUAGGAAAAAAAGCUUGAUAGGAAAUGAUUAAGCCUUGAUUGUACUAAAUGAAUAAGUGACAGCUAACUAUGUGCCAGCAGCUGCGGUAAAACAUAGGUCACGAGCAUUAUCCGGAUUUAUUGGGCGUAAAGGAAGCGUAGGCGGACAAAUUGAUCUAUUGUUAAAGGCACUUGCUCAACGAGUUGUUUGUGAUAGAUAUCGUUUGUCUAGAAUUAGUUAGGAGAUACUGGAAUUCAAUGUGUAGCGGUGGAAUGCGUAGAUAUAUUGAGGAACACCAGAGGCUAAGGCGAGUAUCUAGGACAUAAUUGACGCUGAGGCUUGAAAGCGUGGGGAGCAAAUGGGAUUAGAUACCCCAGUAGUCCACGCCGUAAACGAUGGGUAUUAGGUAUUUGGUCUAGGACUGAGUGCUGUAGCUAACGCGUUAAAUACCCCGCCUGGGUAGUAUAUAUGCAAAUAUGAAACUCAAAGAAAUUGACGGGGACCUGAACAAGUGGUGGAGA
rnacentral:rRNA from 1 species